rnacentral:misc_RNA from 1 species
AAGUCGUAACAAGGUUUCCGUAGGUGAACCUGCGGAAGGAUCAUUAACACGUAUCCAACGUUAAAACCCCCCCGUGAACCUUCAGUGUGCUCGUACGCUUUGUUAGAAAGUAGCAAUCCCUGGUAAAUCAUCGCCGAACAGUUUUGAUUCAGGGACUUCUGCGAAGAGUGUGCUUGUAGCGCGAGGCAAGUGGCCUGGCAUCCUUGUCUGAAAGUGUCAAGGGUGGCGCAGUCACGAUCGCUAGAGGUCGAUCACCGGCCGGCAGACAUGUCACAGGGCUAUAUGCCCCUUCGUUCACCCCUUGCCUAAAACUCGCCCACCGGAAACGCUGGGCACAAAAACCGAACAACUGUUAACAAUGGAUAUCUUGGUUCUC